CCUACGGGUGGCAGCAGUGAGGAAUAUUGGUCAAUGGGCGAGAGUCUGAACCAGCCAUGCCGCGUGAAGGAUGAAGGCUCUAUGGUUUGUAAACUUCUUUUAUAUGGGAGUAAAGCGAGGAACGUGUUUUCUGCUGUAAGUACUAUACGAAUAAGCAUCGGCUAACUCCGUGCCAGCAGCCGCGGUAAUACGGAGGAUGCGAGCGUUAUCCGGAGUUAUUGGGUUUAAAGGGUGCGUAGGUGGUUAAUUAAGUCAGCGGUGAAAGUUUGUGGCUAAACCAUAGAAGUGCCGUUGAUACUGGUUAACUAGAGUAUAUAUGAGGUAGGCGGAAUGCGUGGUGUAGCGGUGAAAUGCAUAGAGAUCACACAGAACUCCGAUUGCGAAGGCAGCUUACUAAACUAUAACUGACACUGAGGCACGAAAGCGUGGGGAUCAAACAGGAUUAGAGACCCGAGUAGUC
rnacentral:rRNA from 1 species